CUACUGCCCACUUUUCUGGCGAUCAUAGGUUUGAUUCCCUACGUACUGCGCCGAAAAUCUUUCCCUUUACAAGGUUUAUUGGGAAGUGACCAUGUUGUAAGUCGAGGAGCAUCUACACCAUCAUACCUUCUAAUCUGCAGGGGAGUGGUUCAAGGAUCCCCAGAAGAUACCAACACCUGAACAGAACAACCAGGGAUCACGUGACAGAGAUGGCUGUGUAGUUUCUUGCAGUGCUCUCAUGUGGGACCCAAAGAACACAUAAAAUGACCAAGAGACGGAGGCACUGAUGCUUAACCUAUUUACCCUUGCCAUUUUUCUAGUGUAU